UGGGCGCAAGCCUGAUCCAGCCAUACCGCGUGGGUGAAGAAGGCCUUCGGGUUGUAAAGCCCUUUUGUUGGGAAAGAAAAGCAGUCGGUUAAUACCCGAUUGUUCUGACGGUACCCAAAGAAUAAGCACCGGCUAACUUCGUGCCAGCAGCCGCGGUAAU
rnacentral:rRNA from 1 species